rnacentral:lncRNA from 1 species
GUAAGGGGUUAAUUAAUUAAUUAAUUUCCUCUCCAUGUGAAGCUGUGGGUUCACAGAGCAAAAAAGAGGGUAAGGAAAGGGGCUAUAAAAGGAUGAGUGUGUGCUAUAGGAACCAUUUUGCUUUGAGUCAGAGAAGCUGAGGAGUUUUUACCACUCUUUGUGCUCAUGUAUGUAGCUUGGAUGCAGAUAUGUAGGUUCUAUAGAGUAUGGUUUAUAGGUAGCAUUAUAAAAUUGGCUGAAAAGGUUUAGGUGUUGCUUCUCUUUUAUACAAUCCUGUAUUUUGAGGAUUAGAACUUUUUAGUGUGACAUCUGGGAAGAUUUGGAACAAAGUUCUGGUACGAGAAAAAUCACUUAAUGAGCUCUAAUACGGGCCUUACAGAAUUCUGUAAUGAGAUACCUUGAAGAGACUUUGAAAAUGAUAAGGAUACAGUGAGCAGGAUAUAACACAUAAUCCUAGCUAAAUUCUUUACUUUAUUUCCUAAAAGAAGUGGGCAAAUUUCCUUGUACCUGCUAGAAAGAAGUCCAGCUGUUUCAAACCACAGUGAUUCCCAGCUCAUCACAGCUAGUGUAGAUUCCAGAAGCAGAGGUGAAACAGGCUGGUGGAGGUCUUGCUGGGGUGGCCAGGUUGUCAUGCCAGCCCUUAAAGCAUAGGUAGACUUAUUUUAAAAUUUAUUUUUUCUGGCUGGGACUUGAGCUGUAUUUCAGAUGAACUCCAUAACCUAGAGACAUGGUGGAGACCAAGAAGGAAUAAGCAGCAGCAGGAAGAGGCAGCUCUGAGGAGGCAAUGUCUCCGUGGCUCCAGGAGGUGAUAUAAGUUGGUUAGGCAGGGCUGAAGCACUUGUCACUUGGUGAGAAGAGUAAUAAAAAAGUGAAUGCUCAAAUAAGUUGAUCAUCCUCUCACAGAUGCAGCUGCUGAAAAACAAAUGGAAGUCAGCAGUAGCUGAAGGCCUGCAUUGGUUGAACAAUCUGCUGAGGACUGUUCCAGGACGCUCCACAGAAAAUCGUGAGUUAAAGAGCAAAAACACUCAAAGCAGUGGUGAAUGUGGAUUAAGAAUCUGGCAGUUCAAGCUCUCAAAAUUCAGGUGGGUUCAUCUGUUUUAUGAACUCUUCACCUAGGCCCCAAUUAGUAUUAUAUUAACCUCCUUAAAUAUCAGAUUGCUGUGAUCUUACAAUACUCCAAAAUGGUCUAUUAGCUACCCUAUUUCCUGGCUCCGUCAGAUGAAAAUGUCUACAGUAGGUCACCUGAAAGCAUUACUCAAUUAAUUCAGUGAGCUGCAGUGGGUACCCAGGAUGUCUACCAAGCACAGGGAGCUCAGAGGGUUUCUAUUACAAAGCCUUACGUUUUUACAUUACAAGUGCAUGUAAACAUGAUCUGAGGACUCAUGCACCUGGAUCCUUGAAAGAACUAAACCUUGACCUCCUGCUGAAAUUGAUAAGAAUUAGGUGCUUAAAUCCCAUGAAGAAGUAGUGCCACAAUAUCUUCAGUGGCUUUGGAUUAAGUCUCAGGCAAAUUAAAUUAUUAAUUUUGGAUGGUGUGAACACCAUCUUGAGCCAUCAAAUAUUCUGUGCAUAUUGCAGUUUACAAGAAAGGAAUGAGAUAUUUCAAUUUUUGGAGUUCCAGAGAUGCAGGAGAUUUUGCAGGUGGGCUUGGGGGAAAAUCUCAUUUUGUUUUCUAAGCCUAUCCAAUCAUCUCCUACUGAAAGUUACUCAAGCUGUUGCUUUGAAAAAGCCUUCUGGGUAACUAGCUGUAUAUUUCA